UACAGAGGUCUCAAGCGUUGUCCGGAGUUACUGGGCGUAAAGGGCGCGCAGGCGGCGGUGCUGGCCCGGCGUGAAAGCCCCCGGCUCAACCGGGGAGGGUCGUCGGGGACCGCACCGCUUGAGGCGGUAGGGCUGGUGGAAUGCCUGGUGUAGUGGUGAAAUGCGUAGAUAUCAGGAGGAACACCGGUGGCGAAGGCGGCCCUCUGGACGGUGACUGACGCUGAGACGCGAAAGCGUGGGGAGCGAACAGG
rnacentral:rRNA from 1 species